CAUAUCACUAAGCGGAGAAAAAGAAAAUAACUAUGAUUCCAAAAGUAACGGCGAGUGAAAUUGGACUAGCCCAUAGCCGAAUUCCGUUGUCCUCGACGGCAACUGGAAGUUGUGGCGUUGGGAACUGCCUGUUGUAACCGAUCGGCCGGGCUACGCGACUCCUCUUGAUUGUGGUUUGCCCAUAGCAGGUGAAAGGCCUAUUGGUCGUAGCCUCGUGCAGAAGGCCGGCGGUGAAGGCAGUCCUUAGAGUCGGGUUGUUUGGGAUUGCAGCCCGAAGCAGGUGGUAAACUCCACCUAAGGCUAAAUACGACCGCGAGUCCGAUAGCGAACAAGUACCGUGAGGGACAGUUGAAAAGAACUUUGAAGAGAGAGUUCAAAGUACGUGAAACCGUUCAGAGGUAAACGGGUAGAAAGUCGAAUUGAAGGCUGACAAUCAAGCCGCAGCCGUGUCGGAGUCGGGCUAGCAGCACGUUAAAGGCUGCUGGUUUGCUCGUAUGGCUGGUUGCGGUUGUAUUUGUUGGUCUUGGAUCGCCGCGACGGCAGUGUCUGACCGGCUGGCGCUAGCUCCUCUGGUCGAUGUGGACCCGUAUGGGUCUGUUCGUCGGCACAAGGGGUGGCGUCCCGCGUACACAGCACAGCCGAACCAAUACAGCGAUUUAUGCGUUCCAUCUGGUGGUCGUUCGUCUUGUGUCGGCAGGCUGAACUUAAACAAGCUCAACUGUUGGCAUCAGGGCGGCGGCUGCUGGUUUAACGACGGAACAAAGCUCGCAUUGGCGGCGUUUGACUACGAAUUAUCUACCUGACCCGUCUUGAAACACGGACCAAGGAGUCUAACCUGUGCGCAAGCCAUUGGGACUUAGAUACCUAAAGGCGCAGUGAAAGCAAUAAUGGUGAGAUCUGUCGUUGGUUUGSUAAGAACAACGGCAGCGCAUCAUCGUCACGCCUCAACUCGGCUUCGGCUGAAGAGGCGCAGACUGAGCGCACAAGUUGGGACCCGAAAGAUGGUGAACUAUGCGUGGCGAGGUCGAAGCCAGAGGAAACUCUGGUGGAGGACUGUAGCGGUUCUAACGUGCAAAUUGAUCGUCGCAGCUGCGUAUAGGGGCGAAAGACUAAUCGAACCAUCUAGUAGCUGGUUCCCUCCGAAGUUUCCCUCAGGAUAGCUGGCACUCGUCGGAGCAGUUUUGUCCGGUAAAGCGAAUGACUAGAGGCCUUGGGGACAUAACGACCUCAACCUAUUCUCAAACUUUGAAUGGGCAAGAAGAGYGACUCACUUAAUUGGAGUUGCUUCUACGAAUGCUUGAGUGCCAAGUGGGCCAUUUUUGGUAAGCAGAACUGGCGCUGUGGGAUGAACCAAACGUGCAGCUAAGGUGCCAAAUGCUAACGCUCAUCCGAACCCAUUAAAGGUGUUGGUUGAUAGAGACAGCAGGACGGUGGCCAUGGAAGUCGGAACCCGCCAAGGAGUGUGUAACAACUCACCUGCCGAAUCAACCAGUCCUGAAAAUGGAUGGCGCUGAAGCGUUGCGAACCUAUGCUGUACCGGCAAGACAGAA
rnacentral:rRNA from 1 species